rnacentral:misc_RNA from 1 species
GUUCGAGCGUCAUUACAUCUCUCGAGCUCAGCUCGGUGUUGAGGGUCGCCCCCCGGGCGCCCUCGAAAUUUAGCGGUGACUUGGUUGGUCCUCGAGCGAAUAAAACUUACGUUCCGCUUCAAAAGAUCAGACUUGUCUGCCGGACAAACCACAAAUCUACGAUUGACCUCGGAUCAGGUAGGGAUACCCGCUGAACUUAA